UGCAAGUCGAGGGGUAUAGUUCUUCGGAACUAGAGACCGGCGCACGGGUGCGUAACGCGUAUGCAAUCUACCUUUCACAAAGGGAUAGCCCAGAGAAAUUUGGAUUAAUACCUUAUAGUAUAACGACUUCGCAUGGAGAUGUUAUUAAAGAUUUAUCGGUGAAAGAUGAGCAUGCGUCCCAUUAGCUAGUUGGUAAGGUAACGGCUUACCAAGGCUACGAUGGGUAGGGGUCCUGAGAGGGAGAUCCCCCACACUGGUACUGAGACACGGACCAGACUCCUACGGGAGGCAGCAGUGAGGAAUAUUGGUCAAUGGGCGCAAGCCUGAACCAGCCAUGCCGCGUGCAGGAUGACGGUCCUAUGGAUUGUAAACUGCUUUUGUACAGGAAGAAACACUCCCUCGUGAGGGAGCUUGACGGUACUGUAAGAAUAAGGAUCGGCUAACUCCGUGCCAGCAGCCGCGGUAAUACGGAGGAUCCAAGCGUUAUCCGGAAUCAUUGGGUUUAAAGGGUCCGUAGGCGGCUUAAUAAGUCAGUGGUGAAAGCCCUACGCUUAACGUAGGAACGGCCAUUGAUACUGUUAGGCUUGAAUUAUUAGGAAGUAACUAGAAUAUGUAGUGUAGCGGUGAAAUGCUUAGAGAUUACAUGGAAUACCAAUUGCGAAGGCAGGUUACUACUAAUGGAUUGACGCUGAUGGACGAAAGCGUGGGUAGCGAACAGGAUUAGAUACCCUGGUAGUCCACGCCGUAAACGAUGGAUACUAGCUGUUGGGAGCAAUUUCAGUGGCUAAGCGAAAGUGAUAAGUAUCCCACCUGGGGAGUACGAACGCAAGUUUGAAACUCAAAGGAAUUGACGGGGGCCCGCACAAGCGGUGGAGCAUGUGGUUUAAUUCGAUGAUACGCGAGGAACCUU
rnacentral:rRNA from 1 species